GACGAACGCUGGCGGCGUGCUUAACACAUGCAAGUCGAGCGGUAAGGCCCUUUCGGGGGUACACGAGCGGCGAACGGGUGAGUAACACGUGGGUGACCUGCCCUUAGCUCUGGGAUAAGCCUGGGAAACUGGGUCUAAUACCGGAUAUGACUCCAUGACGCAUGUUGUGGGGUGGAAAGCCUUGUGCGGCUAGGGAUGGGCCCGCGGCCUAUCAGCUUGUUGGUGGGGUGAUGGCCUACCAAGGCGACGACGGGUAGCCGGCCUGAGAGGGCGACCGGCCACACUGGGACUGAGACACGGCCCAGACUCCUACGGGAGGCAGCAGGUGGGGAAUCUUGCGCAAUGGGCGAAAGCCUGACGCAGCGACGCCGCGUGAGGGAUGACGGCC
rnacentral:rRNA from 1 species